CUUUUGUAGUGUAAUUAUAACACAUUACAUUUUCAAUGUAAAGAUAAGAAUUAUUUCUUUUAAAGUAU
rnacentral:tRNA from 1 species